GACGAACGCUGGCGGCGUGCCUAACACAUGCAAGUCGAACGCAAAGGCCCUGCUUUUGUGGGUCUCUCGAGUGGCGAACGGGUGUGUAACACGUGAGUAACCUGCCCUUGACUGUGGGAUAACUUCAGGUAACUGGGUCUAAUACCGGAUAGGAGCUUCGGCGGCAUGUGUGGUGUUUGAAAGUUUCGGCGGUUGUGGAUGGACUCGCGGCUUUGCAGCGUGUUGGUGGGGUAGUGGCUUACCAAGGCUUUGACGGGUAGCCGGCCUGCGAGGGUGACAGGCCACAUUGGGACUGAGAUACGGGCAGGACUGCAACGGGAGGCAGCAGUGGGAAAUAUUGCACAAUGCGCGGCAGCCUGAAGCAGGAGCGCCGCGUGCGGGAUGACGGCCUUCGGGUUGUAAACCGCUUUCGCCUGUGAAGAAGAGUGAGUGACGGUAAUGGGUAAGGAAGCAACGGCUAACUACGUG
rnacentral:rRNA from 1 species